UACGAAGGGGGCUAGCGUUGCUUGGAAUCACUGGGCGUAAAGGGUGCGUAGGCGGGUCUUUAAGUCAGGGGUGAAAUCCUGGAGCUCAACUCCAGAACUGCCUUUGAUACUGAGGAUCUUGAGUUCGGGAGAGGUGAGUGGAACUGCGAGUGUAGAGGUGAAAUUCGUAGAUAUUCGCAAGAACACCGGUGGCGAAAGCGGCUCACUGGAUCUCUUCUGACGCUGAGGCACGAAAGCUAGGGUAGCGAACGGG
rnacentral:rRNA from 1 species